AUGCACAUGACAUUGACCUGCUUCCUUUGUAUUGGUAAGCAGUGUUAUUUCUGAUGUGCUAAAGUAAUGGCUGAAGGCUAAUUAGCAGCUUCACUUCUUUUAGUGAUCCUGCCAGUCUCCUUCAUACAAAA